rnacentral:rRNA from 1 species
GACGAACGCUGGCGGCGUGCCUACUACAUGCAAGUCGAACGCAGUGGGGACGGGUGAGUAACACGUGGGUAACCUCCCAUCAGAGGGGAUAACACUUGGCAACAGGUGCUAAACCGCUACUGAUGGAUGGACCCGCGGUGCAUUAGCUCGUUGGUGCGGUAACGGCUCACCAAGGCCACGAUGCCUAGACGACCUGAGAGGGUGAUCGGCCACACUGGGACUGAGAAACGGCCCGGACGCCUACGGGAGGCAGCAGUGGGGAGUCUUCGGCAAUGGACGAAAGUCUGGCGGAGCAACGCCGCGUGAGUGAAGAGGGUGUUCGGAUCGUAAAACUCUGUUGUUAGAGAAGCGGUAUCUAACCAGAAAGCCACGGCUAACUACGUGCCAGCAGCCGCGGUAAUUC